rnacentral:rRNA from 1 species
UACGUAGGGGGCAAGCGUUGUCCGGAUUUAUUGGGCGUAAAGAGCGUGUAGGCGGCUAGGUAGGUCCGUUGUGAAAACUCGAGGCUCAACCUCGAGACGCCGAUGGAAACCAUCUAGCUAGAGUCCGGAAGAGGAGAGUGGAAUUCCUGGUGUAGCGGUGAAAUGCGCAGAUAUCGGGAGGAACACCAGUAGCGAAGGCGGCACUCUGGGCCGGUACUGACGCUGAGGAGCGAAAGCGUGGGGAGCGAACAGG